rnacentral:rRNA from 1 species
GACGAACGCUGGCGGCGUGCUUAACACAUGCAAGUCGAACGGUGAAGCGCCUUCCUUUUUGGUGGGUGUGGAUGAGUGGCGAACGGGUGAGUAACACGUGAGUAACCUGCCCCCUUCUUCUGGAUAACCGCAUGAAAGUGUGGCUAAUACGGGAUAUUCUGGGUCUGUCGCAUGAUGGGUCUGGGAAAGAUAUUGUUUCGGUGGGGGAUGGGCUCGCGGCCUAUCAGCUUGUUGGUGGGGUGAUGGCCUACCAAGGCGGUGACGGGUAGCCGGCCUGAGAGGGUGGGCGGGCAGACGGGGAGAGAGACCCGGCCGGGACGCCUGCGGGAGGCAGCGGGGGAGAAUAUGGAACAAUGGGCGAAAGGGUGAUGCGGCGGGGCGGCGGGGGGGAUGGAGUCGUGCGUGUGGUGAACCUCUUUCGGCAGUGAAGCAGGCCGCCCUGGUUUGUGGGGGGGUUGACGGUACCUGGAGAAGAAGCGCCGGCUAACUACGUG